rnacentral:rRNA from 1 species
CCCUUAGAUGUUCUGGGCCGCACGCGCGCUACACUGACGAAUGCAACGAGCUUAUAACCUUGGCCGAAAGGUCUGGGUAAUCUCCAAAUUUCGUCGUGAUGGGGAUAGAUUAUUGCAAUUAUUAAUCUUCAACGAGGAAUGCCUAGUAAGCGCAAGUCAUCAGCUUGCGUUGAUUACGUCCCUGCCCUUUGUACACACCGCCCGUCGCUCCUACCGAUUUCGAGUGGUUCGGUGAACCUUUCGGACCGGCAAUGCCUCGUGUUGCGCCGGAAAGUCAAGUAAACCAUNUNACUUAGNGGAAGGAGAANUCGUANCA